rnacentral:lncRNA from 1 species
GCAGACUGUAUGACUGCAUCUGGAAAAACGUCUAAAAGAAUAAGAAGUCAAAGAAAAACGAAACAUGGUAAGAGUUUGACACAGCACUGCUGUUUUGAAGAUUUGGAAAUCCACAUGAGAAGAAAUGACCCUGAAGGUUGAUACAACAAUAAAAACAUGGUGCAUUCUUUUCUUCUUCUUCUUUUUUUAAAAUCACAUUUUUAAAGGCAACAAAAACUCUUGGAAACAGUAAAGAAUAAAGUGCUAAAAAUCCA